rnacentral:rRNA from 1 species
AUUGAACGCUGGCGGCAUGCAUUACACAUGCAAGUCGAACGGCAGCACGGGAGCAAUCCUGGUGGCGAGUGGCGAACGGGUGAGUAAUAUAUCGGAACGUGCCCAGUCGUGGGGGAUAACGUAGCGAAAGCUACGCUAAUACCGCAUACGAUCUAUGGAUGAAAGCGGGGGAUCGCAAGACCUCGCGCGAUUGGAGCGGCCGAUAUCAGAUUAGGUAGUUGGUGAGGUAAAGGCUCACCAAGCCGACGAUCUGUAGCUGGUCUGAGAGGACGACCAGCCACACUGGGACUGAGACACGGCCCAGACUCCUACGGGAGGCAGCAGUGGGGAAUUUUGGACAAUGGGCGCAAGCCUGAUCCAGCAAUGCCGCGUGCAGGAUGAAGGCCUUCGGGUUGUAAACUGCUUUUGUACGGAACGAAACGGUGAGCUCUAAUACAGUUUGCUAAUGACGGUACCGUAAGAAUAAGCACCGGCUAACUACGUGCCAGCAGCCGCAGUAAUAC